UACAGAGGGUGCGAGCGUUAAUCGGAAUUACUGGGCGUAAAGCGUGCGCAGGCGGUUAUUUAAGUCAGGUGUGAAAGCCCUGGGCUUAACCUAGGAAUGGCGCUUGAGACUGGAUAGCUUGGAGUGUGGCAGAGGGAGGUGGAAUUCCACGUGUAGCAGUGAAAUGCGUAGAGAUGUGGAGGAACACCGAUGGCGAAGGCAGCCUCCUGGGCCAGCACUGACGCUCAUGCACGAAAGCGUGGGGAGCAAACAGG
rnacentral:rRNA from 1 species